rnacentral:misc_RNA from 1 species
GAUGAAGAACGUAGCGAAAUGCGAUACGUAAUGUGAAUUGCAGAAUUCAGUGAAUCAUCGAAUCUUUGAACGCAUAUUGCGCUCUCUGGUAUUCCGGAGAGCAUGCUUGUUUGAGUAUCAGUAAACACCUCAACUUCCAUAUCUUUUUUGAAAUGGGAGUUGGACUUGAGUGAUCCCAACGCUUUUCCUCACCGAAAAGUGGCGGGUUACUUGAAAUGCAGGUGCAGCUGGACUUUUCUCUGAGCUAUAAGCAUAUCUAUUUAGUCUGCCUAAAAAACAGAUUAUUACCUUUGCUGCAGCUAACAUAAAGGAGAUUAGUUCUUGUGCUGACUGAUGCAGGAUUCACAAAGACAGGCUUCGGCCGACUUUGUAAACUCGAUCUCAAAUCAAGUAAGACUACCCGCUGAACUUAAGCAUAUCAAUAAGCGGAGGGA